rnacentral:rRNA from 1 species
GAGUUUGAUCCUGGCUCAGAACGAACGUUAGCGGCGCGCCUAACACAUGCAAGUCGCACGAGAAAGGGCUUCGGCCCCGGUACAGUGGCGCACGGGUGAGUAACACGUGGGUAAUCUGCCUUCGAGUGGGGGAUAACAUUCCGAAAGGAGUGCUAAUACCGCAUAAGACCACGCCCUCGAAAGAGGAAGCGGUCAAAGCUGGCCUCUAUACAUAAGCUAGCGCUUGAGAAUGAGCCCGCGGAGCAUCAGCUAGUUGGUGAGGUAAUGGCUCACCAAGGCUUAGACGCUUAGCUGGUCUGAGAGGAUGAUCAGCCACACUGGAACUGAGACACGGUCCAGACUCCUACGGGAGGCAGCAGUGGGGAAUCUUGCGCAAUGGGCGAAAGCCUGACGCAGCGACGCCGCGUGAGUGAUGAAGGCCUUCGGGUU